UUUAGAAAUAAAACUUAAAAAUACAUUUUAAUGGAAUGAUACAGAGAAGGUUAGCUUGGCCCCUGUGCAAGGAUGACACACAAAUUUGUGAAGCAUUCCAUAUUUCU